rnacentral:rRNA from 1 species
GAUGAACGCUGGCGGCGUGCCUAAUACAUGCCAGUCGAGCGAGCAGACGAGGAGCUUGCUCCUCUGACGUUAGCGGCGGACGGGUGAGUAACACGUGGAUAACCUACCUAUAAGACUGGGAUAACUUCGGGAAACCGGAGCUAAUACCGGAUAAUAUAUUGAACCGCAUGGUUCAAUAGUGAAAGACGGUUUUGCUGUCACUUAUAGAUGGAUCCGCGCCGCAUUAGCUAGUUGGUAAGGUAACGGCUUACCAAGGCGACGAUGCGUAGCCGACCUGAGAGGGUGAUCGGCCACACUGGAACUGAGACACGGUCCAGACUCCUACGGGAGGCAGCAGUAGGGAAUCUUCCGCAAUGGGCGAAAGCCUGACGGAGCAACGCCGCGUGAGUGAUGAAGGUCUUCGGAUCGUAAAACUCUGUUAUUAGGGAAGAACAAAUGUGUAAGUAACUAUGCACGUCUUGACGGUACCUAAUCAGAAAGCAACGGCUAACUACGUG